UUGCGUGCGGCGCGUUUUCUGAGAACGGCACCUCCACCGUGGUAAUAUGCGGACUUUCAAGCUUCAGAGCCUCGGAGAAGCUCCACAGAGAACCCGUGAAAAGGUGAACUUUCUCGGAUAACCUGGGGAGUUGACCUCCCAAGGGACUUGGAACACCUCUCUGCUAAGCACAAGGCUGGAAGCCAGCUUGUCUAUAUAUUACAGGUAGGUAGGUGGUGGCAGCAGUACUCUGCCUCCCAUUGCAGCUUGGGACGUGUGACCGUUUGGCCAGGGACUUGACAGGCAAGGUACGUCCAAAGACUUUGCGCAUCUCUGAGGGACAACUAUUUGUAUAAUAAUUAUUUGUUAUUCAUUCAUUCAUUCAUUGAAAAACCUAAAGGUCUUAAGCAUCACAUAGGGGUGACAACUAUGAAUACUGCGUAACUCAAUUUCUCAAACAGAGCUAAUUGAAGAAAUCUGGCACACAUCUGCGUGCUUCUUUGCAAAUGUCGUCGAAAGAUGAGUCUUCUUCUGGCUGUACUACAGGAGUUCUGGUCUCAUUCGCGACCACCCGUGAUGCUGUUCUCGUACCAUUUUCGUCUGGUCAUAAUCAAUGCAAUGGAGAUUUGUUUGAACAGAUUUCAUCUUACCGCAUUAUCACUAUUGGCAUGCCAUGUGUUCAUACCUCCACAACAUGUCUGCAAUGUUUGGGUUGAGUGUGGUACUGUAUAGCACGAUAGUUUGCAAAGAACCCUUUGUGAGACAUGAAUGAAUGCGCGGAAGGGUCAGUGGCUGUGUGCGUGCACUACUGGUGCACCGAAGUAGGCCACACCAUAUUGUCGGCAGAGGGCUUUUUUCAUGCAUAGCAUUGCGUUUUCAGCGCUGCCUAAAGAACAUUAAGGUCUUCAGAAUUGUGUAUCUAUGUAUUUUGUAGUAGGAACACAGGAAUUUUUUUUCUUAUUCAGGUAUAUUAUGCGUGCUCAGGGUAACGCAUACAGGACAGACACAAGGACAAAUGACACUUAUACCGGGGCCCAAUUCAACCAGUUCGAACCAACGCAUUGCAAGGCGCAACUUCACACGCCACUCCCAGGCAUUACGACCCCUGUGACUACCGGGUGCCGGGUAAGGGGGAUGCCUGUACCCAUGCUUCUUAAACCGGUGAGUGCCGGCGGUGCGAUUCGAAACAGUCACCUUUCAUAGCCGAGGAGAACAUACAAUCCACUAGGCAUUGGCUAUGGUAACUUAAUUCACGAAUUGAUGUUACUCCUCAAAUAUUCAUACUAUAGCGACAAUGUUCAAAA